rnacentral:tRNA from 1 species
AGGGAUAUAGCUCAGUUGGUAGAGUGCUUGCCUUGCAUGCACAAGGCCUGGGUCUGAUCCCCAGCACCAUUA